GUUAUAUGGUCAAGUGAAGAAGCGCAUACGGUGGAUGCCUUGGCAGUCAGAGGCGAUGAAAGACGUGGUAGCCUGCGAAAAGCUUCGGGGAGUCGGCAAACAGACUUUGAUCCGGAGAUGUCUGAAUGGGGGAACCCAGCCAUCACAAGAUGGUUAUCUUGUACUGAAUACAUAGGUGCAAGAGGCGAACCAGGGGAACUGAAACAUCUAAGUACCCUGAGGAAAAGAAAUCAACCGAGAUUCCCUUAGUAGUGGCGAGCGAACGGGGACUAGCCCUUAAGUGGCUUUGAGAUUAGCGGAACGCUCUGGAAAGUGCGGCCAUAGUGGGUGAUAGCCCUGUACGCGAAAGUCUCUUAGUCAUGAAAUCGAGUAGGACGGAGCACGAGAAACUUUGUCUGAAUAUGGGGGGACCAUCCUCCAAGGCUAAAUACUACUGACUGACCGAUAGUGAACUAGUACCGUGAGGGAAAGGCGAAAAGAACCCCGGAGAGGGGAGUGAAAUAGAUCCUGAAACCGUAUGCGUACAAGCAGUGGGAGCAGACUUUGUUCUGUGACUGCGUACCUUUUGUAUAAUGGGUCAGCGACUUAUUUUCAGUGGCGAGCUUAACCGAAUAGGGGAGGCGUAGCGAAAGCGAGUCUUAAUAGGGCGUCUAGUCGCUGGGAAUAGACCCGAAACCGGGCGAUCUAUCCAUGGGCAGGUUGAAGGUUAGGUAACACUGACUGGAGGACCGAACCGACUACCGUUGAAAAGUUAGCGGAUGACCUGUGGAUCGGAGUGAAAGGCUAAUCAAGCUCGGAGAUAGCUGGUUCUCCUCGAAAGCUAUUUAGGUAGCGCCUCAUGUAUCACUGUAGGGGGUAGAGCACUGUUUCGGCUAGGGGGUCAUCCCGACUUACCAAACCGAUGCAAACUCCGAAUACCUACAAGUGCCGAGCAUGGGAGACACACGGCGGGUGCUAACGUCCGUCGUGAAAAGGGAAACAACCCAGACCGUCAGCUAAGGUCCCAAAGUUAUGGUUAAGUGGGAAACGAUGUGGGAAGGCUUAGACAGCUAGGAGGUUGGCUUAGAAGCAGCCACCCUUUAAAGAAAGCGUAAUAGCUCACUAGUCGAGUCGGCCUGCGCGGAAGAUGUAACGGGGCUCAAACCAUACACCGAAGCUACGGGUAUCACGUAAGUGAUGCGGUAGAGGAGCGUUCUGUAAGCCUGUGAAGGUGAGUUGAGAAGCUUGCUGGAGGUAUCAGAAGUGCGAAUGCUGACAUGAGUAACGACAAUGGGUGUGAAAAACACCCACGCCGAAAGACCAAGGUUUCCUGCGCAACGUUAAUCGACGCAGGGUUAGUCGGUCCCUAAGGCGAGGCUGAAAAGCGUAGUCGAUGGAAAACAGGUUAAUAUUCCUGUACUUCUGGUUAUUGCGAUGGAGGGACGGAGAAGGCUAGGCCAGCUUGGCGUUGGUUGUCCAAGUUUAAGGUGGUAGGCUGAGAUCUUAGGUAAAUCCGGGAUCUUAAGGCCGAGAGCUGAUGACGAGUUGCCUUUAGGCGACGAAGUGGUUGAUGCCAUGCUUCCAAGAAAAGCUUCUAAGCUUCAGAUAACCAGGAACCGUACCCCAAACCGACACAGGUGGUUGGGUAGAGAAUACCAAGGCGCUUGAGAGAACUCGGGUGAAGGAACUAGGCAAAAUGGCACCGUAACUUCGGGAGAAGGUGCGCCGGUGAGGGUGAAGCACUUGCUGCGUAAGCCCACGCCGGUCGAAGAUACCAGGCCGCUGCGACUGUUUAUUAAAAACACAGCACUCUGCAAACACGAAAGUGGACGUAUAGGGUGUGACGCCUGCCCGGUGCCGGAAGGUUAAUUGAUGGGGUUAGCUAACGCGAAGCUCUUGAUCGAAGCCCCGGUAAACGGCGGCCGUAACUAUAACGGUCCUAAGGUAGCGAAAUUCCUUGUCGGGUAAGUUCCGACCUGCACGAAUGGCGUAACGAUGGCGGCGCUGUCUCCACCCGAGACUCAGUGAAAUUGAAAUCGCUGUGAAGAUGCAGUGUAUCCGCGGCUAGACGGAAAGACCCCGUGAACCUUUACUAUAGCUUUGCACUGGACUUUGAAUUUGCUUGUGUAGGAUAGGUGGGAGGCUUUGAAGCGUGGACGCCAGUUCGCGUGGAGCCAUCCUUGAAAUACCACCCUGGCAACUUUGAGGUUCUAACUCAGGUCCGUUAUCCGGAUCGAGGACAGUGUAUGGUGGGUAGUUUGACUGGGGCGGUCUCCUCCUAAAGAGUAACGGAGGAGUACGAAGGUGCGCUCAGACCGGUCGGAAAUCGGUCGUAGAGUAUAAAGGCAAAAGCGCGCUUGACUGCGAGACAGACACGUCGAGCAGGUACGAAAGUAGGUCUUAGUGAUCCGGUGGUUCUGUAUGGAAGGGCCAUCGCUCAACGGAUAAAAGGUACUCCGGGGAUAACAGGCUGAUACCGCCCAAGAGUUCAUAUCGACGGCGGUGUUUGGCACCUCGAUGUCGGCUCAUCACAUCCUGGGGCUGAAGCCGGUCCCAAGGGUAUGGCUGUUCGCCAUUUAAAGUGGUACGCGAGCUGGGUUUAGAACGUCGUGAGACAGUUCGGUCCCUAUCUGCCGUGGACGUUUGAGAUUUGAGAGGGGCUGCUCCUAGUACGAGAGGACCGGAGUGGACGAACCUCUGGUGUUCCGGUUGUCACGCCAGUGGCAUUGCCGGGUAGCUAUGUUCGGGAAAGAUAACCGCUGAAAGCAUCUAAGCGGGAAACUUGCCUCAAGAUGAGAUCUCACUGGAACCUUGAGUUCCCUGAAGGGCCGUCGAAGACUACGACGUUGAUAGGUUGGGUGUGUAAGCGCUGUGAGGCGUUGAGCUAACCAAUACUAAUUGCCCGUGAGGCUUGACCAUAUAACACCCAAGCAAUU
rnacentral:rRNA from 3 species